UACGGAGGGAGCUAGCGUUGUUCGGAAUUACUGGGCGUAAAGCGCACGUAGGCGGCUUUCUAAGUCAGGGGUGAAAUCCCGGGGCUCAACCCCGGAACUGCCCUUGAAACUGGAUGGCUAGAAUCCUGGAGAGGCGAGUGGAAUUCCGAGUGUAGAGGUGAAAUUCGUAGAUAUUCGGAAGAACACCAGUGGCGAAGGCGACUCGCUGGACAGGUAUUGACGCUGAGGCACGAAAGCGUGGGGAGCAAACAGG
rnacentral:rRNA from 1 species